GACCUGCUGGUCUUCCAUGAACCCGGGCGCGGCGAUCAGGGCGACGUGCCCGCCGGGCGCGACGGCCGACGUCACCGUGUCGACCCAGGCGCGGGACGGGUCGCCGGUGGGCGCGACGUGCCCGCCCGUUUCGGCGGCGACCAUCGCCGUAAACGGCCCGGCCUCGGUGAAGCCGCCGGGGACGUCGGCGUUGACUUCGGAGAUCCGCCAGCCGUCGGGCGUCCAGU
rnacentral:misc_RNA from 1 species